AUGAGGACAUUAUGUUGGCACUGUCGUGGGAUUGGCGACCCCGCGACGGUUCGUGAGCUCCGCGACCUAGUGGAGGCUUGUGCGCCGGAUGUGCUUUGCAUAGUUGAAACUCAGCUUGCGAAGUAUAGGGUGGAAGGUUUGGCGGGUAGUCUAGGUUUUAGUGGUAGUUUUGGAGUAGCUAGUAGUGGUCGUAGUGGAGGUUUGUGCUUGUACUGGAAGAAUAAUGUUUCCCUGGAAAUAAAAAGUUUUUCUCAAUAUCACAUUGACUCGGUAAUUAUAGAACUGGGCAAAGAACCAUGGCGUUUGUCUUGUUUCUAUGGAGCCGCAAACAGGAGUCUUAGAUACAAAACUUGGGACACUAUGAAGUUUUUGCGAGGAGAAAACACGCUGCCGUGGGUAUGCAUGGGUGAUUUUAAUGAAAUUCUCCAUCCAGAGGAGCAGAUGAGACCGAAUGAGAGGGACAAUGCACAGAUAGCUGGAUUCAAAGAGGUUGUCGAUGUGUGCGAGCUUGCAGAUCUUGGAUACAAAGGCCUGGAUUGGACGUUCGAAAAAAGAGUGGUCAGAGGAGAAUAUUGCCGGGUCCGACUUGACCGCACCCUUGCAACUCCGUCAUGGUCGGCUAUGUUUCCCUUUGCUUCAGUGGAACAUCUCACGGCGGCAAAAUCAGAUCACUGUCCAAUUCUUUUGCUAAAUGAGUUGGAAGCUAGUAACUUUAGAAUUGCACUAAAGAGUGUAAUGCCCACGAUGCGGCUAUAUCUCCCACGUGUCGAGGCACGACUUAGAGGCAUAACCGCAUUGUGGUUUUGUCGCAAGAAGGGUCAUCUUCACACAAUCCCAUGUAAUGAACAAGAAUUGGAUAACGAGAGUUGGCUUACAAUCGCCACUUCACACAAUACAUAA
rnacentral:rRNA from 1 species